GAGUUUGAUUCUGGCUCAGGAUGAACGCUGGCGGCAUGCCUAACACAUGCAAGUUGAACGAGAAGUUCUGGAGGGAGUCUUCGGACGAACGAAGGAAUGGAAAGUAGCGAACGGGUGAGUAACGCGUGGGCAACCAACCUUACACAGGGGGAUAACGCAGAGAAAUUUGCGCUAAUACCGCAUAAGCGCACAGUACCGCAUGGUACGGUGUGAAAAACUCCGGUGGUGUAAGACGGGCCCGCGUCUGAUUAGUUAGUUGGUGAGGUAAAAGCUCACCAAGGCGACGAUCAGUAGCCGACCUGAGAGGGUGAUCGGCCACAUUGGGACUGAGACACGGCCCAAACUCCUACGGGAGGCAGCAGUGGGGGAUAUUGCACAAUGGAGGAAACUCUGAUGCAGCAAUGCCGCGUGAAGGAAGACGGUUUUCGGAUUGCAAACUUCUAUCAGCAGGGAAGAAAAUGACG
rnacentral:rRNA from 1 species